rnacentral:rRNA from 1 species
CACGGACUGCACGAACGUUAUUCGGUAUCACUGGGCUUAAAGGGUGCGUAGGCGGCUUUGCAAGUUGGGUGUGAAAGCCCUCGGCUCAACCGAGGAAUUGCGCUCAAUACUGCCGAGCUCGAGAGAGACAGAGGUAAGCGGAACUAAUGGUGGAGCGGCGAAAUGCGUUGAUAUCAUUAGGAACACCGGUGGCGAAGGCGGCUUACUGGGUCUUUUCUGACGCUGAGGCACGAAAGCCAGGGGAGCGAACGGG